AAGCCAAAACCAGGAACAUCAACUCAGGACAAGUCGACAAAAUCUCACCAAGUGACGGAUAAGUGUGUGUUUCUUAGCGAAUCUGCUGUGGAUGUACCAGACAUGAAUGAAACAGUAGAGAGUCCUGCUGCUUCCAUUCCUAGUGAAGAUUUAUCGCAGGAGGAACCAGUCUUGGUACGUGACUUGGCAAAGAACGGGAAAGUUGUAAAGCAACAAGGAAAGAGACCGGUGAGAAAUGUUCGAAAGACCACCAGAGCAAAGAGGUAAGUCAUGAGAAUAUGUAGACCAGGCAGUCUGUAGACCUGAAAUUGUUGUAUAUUAGCUUAACUUCUAGAAGAAAUUUAAGCUAUUGUAGGAGAAACCUUGAUUCAUCUUUCCCUUUUUUUCCCGAAAGACCAUGUUGUGUAGCAUCUAUUCCUAAG
rnacentral:misc_RNA from 1 species